GGUUCAGAGAUGUGGUGUAUGUGGCUGAAUCAGGAGCCAAUGGGGUGAAGCUACCAUCUGUAGGAUUAUGACUGACCCUCUAAGUCAGA
rnacentral:rRNA from 1 species